rnacentral:rRNA from 1 species
UCCUGGCUCAGGAUGAACGCUGGCGGCGUGCCUAAUACAUGCAAGUCGAACGCUUCACUUCGGUGAAGAGUGGCGAACGGGUGAGUAAUACAUAAGUAACCUGGCAUCUACAGGGGGAUAACUGAUGGAAACGUCAGCUAAGACCGCAUAGGUGUAGAGAUCGCAUGAACUCUAUAUGAAAAGUGCUACGGGACUGGUAGAUGAUGGACUUAUGGCGCAUUAGCUUGUUGGUAGGGUAACGGCCUACCAAGGCGACGAUGCGUAGCCGACCUGAGAGGGUGACCGGCCACACUGGGACUGAGACACGGCCCAGACUCCUACGGGAGGCAGCAGUAGGGAAUUUUCGGCAAUGGGGGAAACCCUGACCGAGCAACGCCGCGUGAAGGAAGAAGUAAUUCGUUAUGUAAACUUCUGUCAUAGAGGAAGAACGGUGGAUAUAGGGAAUGAUAUCCAAGUGACGGUACUCUAUAAGAAAGCCACGGCUAACUACGUGCCAGCAGCCGCGGUAAUACGUAGGUGGCGAGCGUUAUCCGGAAUUAUUGGGCGUAAAGAGGGAGCAGGCGGCACUAAGGGUCUGUGGUGAAAGAUCGAAGCUUAACUUCGGUAAGCCAUGGAAACCGUAGAGCUAGAGUGUGUGAGAGGAUCGUGGAAUUCCAUGUGUAGCGGUGAAAUGCGUAGAUAUAUGGAGGAACACCAGUGGCGAAGGCGACGAUCUGGCGCAUAACUGACGCUCAGUCCCGAAAGCGUGGGGAGCAAAUAGGAUUAGAUACCCUAGUAGUCCACGCCGUAAACGAUGAGUACUAAGUGUUGGGUGUCAAAGCUCAGUGCUGCAGUUAACGCAAUAAGUACUCCGCCUGAGU